AUUGAACGCUGGCGGCAUGCCUAACACAUGCAAGUCGAACGGCAGCACAGCAGUAGCAAUACUGUGGGUGGCGAGUGGCGGACGGGUGAGGAAUACGUCGGAAUCUGCCCAGUCGUGGGGGAUAACUAGCCGAAAGGUUAGCUAAUACCGCAUACGACCGAGAGGUGAAAGCGGGGGACCGCAAGGCCUCGCGCGAUUGGAUGAGCCGACGUCGGAUUAGCUAGUUGGCGUGGUAAAGGCCCACCAAGGCGACGAUCCGUAGCUGGUCUGAGAGGAUGAUCAGCCACACUGGAACUGAGACACGGUCCAGACUCCUACGGGAGGCAGCAGUGGGGAAUAUUGGACAAUGGGCGCAAGCCUGAUCCAGCAAUGCCGCGUGUGUGAAGAAGGCCUCGG
rnacentral:rRNA from 1 species